rnacentral:rRNA from 2 species
UCGGGAAUAUUGCGCAAUGGAGGAAACUCUGACGCAGUGACGCCGCGUAUAGGAAGAAGGUUUUCGGAUUGUAAACUAUUGUCAUUAGGGAAGAUACAAGACAGUACCUAAGGAGGAAGCCCCGGCUAACUAUGUGCCAGCAGCCGCGGUAAUACAUAGGGGGCAAGCGUUAUCCGGAAUGAUUGGGUGUAAAGGGUGCGUAGACGGAGGAGCAAGUUGGCUGUGAAAUCCCUCGGCUUAACUGAGGAACUGCAACCAAAACUACUUCCCUUGAGUGUCGGAGGGGAAAGUGGAAUUCCUAGUGUAGCGGUGAAAUGCGUAGAUAUUAGGAGGAACACCGGUGGCGAAGGCGACUUUCUGGACGAUAACUGACGUUGAGGCACGAAAGUGUGGGGAGCAAACAGG